rnacentral:rRNA from 1 species
CAGCCGCCACGGUAAUACAGAGGGUGCGAGCGUUAAUCGGAUUUACUGGGCGUAAAGCGUGCGUAGGCGGCUUUUUAAGUCGGAUGUGAAAUCCCUGAGCUUAACUUAGGAAUUGCAUUCGAUACUGGGAAGCUAGAGUAUGGGAGAGGAUGGUAGAAUUCCAGGUGUAGCGGUGAAAUGCGUAGAGAUCUGGAGGAAUACCGAUGGCGAAGGCAACCAUCUGGCCUAAUACUGACGCUGAGGUACGAAAGCAUGGGGAGCAAACAGGAUUAGAUACCCCCGUAGUCCCUGUCUCUUAUAC